rnacentral:rRNA from 1 species
AGAGCUCAGACUGAAAUCUUCGGAGUUGUAGUCUGUAGAAGCUAUGCCGGUCGUCUGCCACGGGUCAAGUCUCCUGGAACGGAGCACCAAGGAGGGUGACAGUCCCGUUUAUACCUGUGGACGGCGGCGUACGGUUGGCUUUCCAAGAGUCGAGUUGCUUGGGAUUGCAGCUCUAAGCGGGUGGUAAAUUCCAUCUAAAGCUAAAUAUUGGUGGGAGACCGAUAGCGAACAAGUACCGUGAGGGAAAGAUGCAAAGAACUUUGAAAAGAGAGUUAAAGAGUACCUGAAAUUGCUGAAAUGGAACCGAUGGGAGGCAGUGUUGGCGGGCUAUCAUUCUGCGGCGUCCGCGUGCGGGCGUUGUUUAUGGUGGUCAGCAAGUCAGGCUUCCUUAUCUGCGUGGGAGAGGCCCUUGAUCAGCUUUGAGCAAGGACAGCCGUCAUGCGGGUGAGGGACUCUGACGAAAUGCCUCUUAUCAUCCCGUCUUGAAACACGGACCAAGGAGUCUAACAUGUGUGCGAGUGCUCGGGGUUGAAUCCCCCAGCGCGGAAUUAAUGUGAAGGCGGACCUAGUUCGCUGAGGUAGGAAGCUGUCAAAGGCUGCACUAUCGACCGACCAUGAUCCUUCGAGAGAAAGGUUUGAGUGUGAGCAUACAUGUUGGGACCCGAAAGAUGGUGAACUAUGCCUGAGUAGGGCGAAGCCAGGGGAAACUCUGGUGGAGGUCCGUAGCGAUUCUAACGUGCAAAUUGAUCGUCGAACUUGGGUAUAGGGGCGAAAGACUAAUCGAACCAUCUAGUAGCUGGUUCCUCCCGAAAUUUCCCUCAGGAUAGCUGCAACCGAACAGUUUUAUCAGGUAAAGACAAUGAUUAGAGGCCUCAGGGGUGGAACGUCCUUGACCUAUUCUCAAACUUUAAAUGGGUAAGAACCCGGGGUUGCUUAAUUGAACCCUGCGGUCGAAUGGCGGUUGCUAGUGGGCCAAUCAGGGUAAGCUUGAUUGGCGAUGCGGGAUGAACCGAACGUCGAGUUAAAGUGCCAAAGUAUCCGCUAACCUAGAUCCCACAAAAGGUGUUGGUUCAUUAAGACAGCAGGACGGUGGCC